AUACUUACCUGGCGUGGAGGUCAACCGUGAUCAUCUGGGCGGUUCCUCCAGGGCGAGGCCCGAUCAUUGCACAUACCGAUCGGGUUGACCCCUGCGAGUAUCCCUAAUGUGGAUACCUCGGACGUAGAAUUUUUUUUUAGCUGGGACUGCGUUCGCGCCGUCCCUUA